GAGGCGGGAGGUGGCGGCAUCACCUGCGGCGUGCGGUGGCUGCUCCCGGACGUGCCGGGGCGGCGGAGGCGCGCGGCGCCCAGGACCCUGCUUUCGCGGCCCCGCCCGCGGCUGCCACCUCGAAGCGCGGCGGAGGAGCCGGGGCACCACGGGCGGCGGCAGCGGCGGCGACGAGAGCAGCAGCACAUGACUCUGUAGCGGGGGGAAUUAAACAAAGCGUAACAUGGACUCCGGGCCCGUGCAGGCGCUGCAGCUCCGGGGCCAACCGCAGCCAGCGAGCGCCGCGACUGGCUCGGCCGCAGCCAAUGGGGCGGGCUCGGGCCUCCAUGUGAUGGCGAGCUCUCUCCCCCGCCGGCUCUCCCGCGUCUGCCGGAGGUCGGGGCGCUUCCGCCGCCGGGCGUGCUGGCCGGAGGGGCGGCGUGGCGAGUUCGGUGGCCCGGGGUCUGACGCUGGCGGCGGGAGGCUGCUGGACUGCGCGCAGGUGCAGCCGGCGGGGAGGGGUAGCCGCCGUAGCUCGCAGUCGCCCCAUCGCUCAGCUGUAAAACGCCCCCCUGGACAGGGCGCGGGGCCCGACGGCCAGUGUCGCCAGGCGGGCGCGAGGCCACCUCAGGAAGCUUCAUCCCCCCUGGGGCUAUCCUGUCAACUCAAGCUCUGAUAGUGUAUUUCCCAAGCACACACCCCGAAAGCCUUCUGCAUGCAAUUCUCCAUCUCAGAUUUGUUUCCAAGGAACCCAAGCUGAGCCAGUGUGGUGCGCCUGGACUUCACAGAUCGCCCUCAUCCGAUGAGCUCAGCUCCUGGCCUUCCUGUCUGGAGCCUGAGUGCACCUCCAGGUGAGGAAGUUUCUCAUUGUGAGUCAGCUCAUCUUGCCCUCCAGACUUGCCUAAAAACUCCAUAUUGGAUGUUGAGCGGUGAAUAAAUUCCUGUCUGCUGCCACGUGCUGAGUCACCAGGGACUCCUCACUGACUCCUGGCUGCCUUUUGGGCUGGGGGGCUUGCCCUAGGGCUGAGAGGAAGCAGCGGGCAGCCGGAUAACCACACCUUCAGGCAGAGGCACUUCUGAGAAGCCGUCCUCCAUCCUCCGGGUGAAAAUGUGUCAUCAGCCAGGCAAGGGGGAGAGUUGCGUUGGCUGGCGUCGGGGGUGACAUCAUGCCCGAUCUUUCCUGCCAGAUUGGAGGGGAGGUCAUGCGUAAGCUUGACUUUUGAGGGAAAAGGAGGUGGAGUCAUUGAUGAGUUUCUGUACUUGAGAGUCAAGGGAUGAGGUCACAUCUGGGUUUGUCUUCUUUGGAAGAGUGAGGUCAUGCUGCUGUUUCCCCUAUUUUGGGUCCUGGAGUGAGGAGACAGGGUACACUGUGCUAGGAUUUGCCUUCUUUAAGAGGCUGGGGAGGUUAGGAAGCUGCAGUGCCUUCACAGGGAAGAGCUGGCUUCUCUCUGGGAAGGUGCCUGAGGAAGCAGCCCUCUGGGGCAGCACAGUGUUGGAGAGCUCUGCUGUUCUGCUCGGGAACACCCAAGGCCACACUAUGAUUUUCAUAGGCCCCUUCCUCCAUGAAAAAGAAAUUAAGAAUUUUCUUUUAUGAGUGUGUUGGUGUAGAGAUGAAUAGAAUCCAGACUGGAAUCAUUAUCACAUAUGCCUUAUAUUCAUUUUCUUCUGAUUUUAAAAGAAAAUGAAAACAUUCUCGUGGGUCUCUAAAAGGUUUCAUGGGCCUUAGGCUCUCUCUGCCUAAUGGAUAAAUUAGCCCUGAGGUUAGGGGUCUCCUCUUCUUCAGAAAGGAAUCUGGGGCUGGAGCAAAACACACAGGGCACCGUCAGCUCCCCACCCUCACUUUGCCUGACUGAGAUGCUCUGCUGGGACCUGGGCUAUGAGACUGCACAGAACGCAGCCUGUCUUCUUGUGCAGACAGGGACUGAGCAGAAGCAGAGUGGUCCACCAGGCAACAGGCUUGCUUAAGAGGACUGACGUCCAGUGAACUGCCCUUACGCUAAGUACAUAAUUCAUCCAAGAGCAGAUACUAGUCAUCUCCUCGGGCAAAGGCAGAGAUCCACGGGGGCAGGAUUUGGAAAUUCGUGUCAGGUGAUCAGUGUUGAGGAAGCCAUGUAAGGUAAGAGUGAUCACAUACUGUAUUCACAUUCAUUCAUUCAACAAAUGUUUAUUGAACGUCAGCUAUGUGCUAAGCACGAGGCCUUGGGGGUUACAAGUUCUGACAUUCGUGGAACUUUCAUAAAUAUUAUACCCUGUACAUUCUCCAAGGCAUCUAUUUAGAGCCACAGGUAAGUUGGGAAAAGGGGAGGGAGAAAACCAUUAAGUUGUGAGAAGCCAUGUUACCUACUACCUGCCAGCGGCCUGAUGUGCGUUGUCCCUUGAUCCUCCUCACCACCCCAUGAAGCACAAAUGUAAAGGUACGUGCAUGCCUCUGGUUGAGAUACGUGCAGCGUCACGAUGGGUGCCACACCUGAAGUGUGAUUGCCUGCCCCAGACACACUCAGCAACUGGGCACAGCAGCCAGUAGAACAUGGAAUGAGAGGUCUGCUGGGCAGGAAAGUUCUGCAAAUGGAAGUCAAGUUUCAAGGAGCAAACCUAGCUGGGGUCAAAAUCCUGGGAUGUACAGAACAGGAAUCUCAGAUCAGCCAGUCUCCUUCAGGCGGGCACCAACGAUCUGGGCACACGCAGUUCCGGAAGCAGGGAGUCAGAAACCACGGCCCUGGAGGCCUGGACCCAAGCGAGGUGAACACCAGUCCUACAACGAUCUGGGCACACGCAGUUCCGGAAGCAGGGAGUCAGAAACCACGGCCCUGGAGGCCUGGACCCAAGCGAGUGACUCCUUUUCACCUUCAGGAUGAAAAUGAAACUCACCAGAAAAAAGCAACAUACCUGAUCUAGCAGCAGAUUUCUUCUGGAGCUGUGCUGUUCAAUACACACUAGAUCUGAUGUUAAGCAUUCUCAUCACACACAAAAAAGAAUAACAGAGUGCAGGAGGAAACUGUUAGAGAUGAUUGAUAUGUCUGUGGCAUAGACUGUGGUGAUGAGUUCACAGCUAUACACUUAUCUCCAAACUUAUCAAGCUGUAUACAUCAAUUAUGCACAGCUUUUUGUAUGUCAAUCAUACCUUAAUAAAGUGGUUUAAAAACACAGUAGCCACUAGCCACAUGUGGCUACUUAAAUUUCAAAAAUGAAACAAAAUUAAAAUUUCUGUUCCUCACCUGCUGGACAGCCACACAUAGUGAGUGGCUAACUUUUUGAAUAGCGCCGAUAUAAAACUUUUCCAUCACCGCAAAUGGUUCUGGACACAACUGAUCAACAGUUUUAGCUUUUUCCAGUUCCUGUAUCUGCUCUCUUCUAUACCUCCUAGCCUCAACGUAGAAUGCCCUUCUCCUUUUCUUUGGCUGAUUCCCACAUACCCUGCAGAUCAACUUUCACCUACUCUGGAGAAAUGUCUGCUAACCACUCAUGUCUCCAGCCUGGAUUGCAUGCCCUUCUGUGGCCCAUUGGAGCCCUGGGCAUAGAAUGCCCACUACAGUCAACUGCAGAUGUCGGUUCACUGGUCCUUGUCCUCUACCAGCUCGCCGAAGGAAGAGUAUGUCUUCAACUUCUGAUUCCCCAGGACCCAGCUUUGUUUCUGAAAAAUGGACAAAGCUUAGUUGCUGUGACGGCUCUCCUUCUGACUAAAUGCUUUCCAGGGAUCUAUAGAUCUGAAUGUGUUCUCCUCCAAGGCAGAAACGAGGAAGGACCUUCUUUUGGGGCUGUAGAGAGAAGAGGUGAUUACAAACCCGCCCAGGCCAACCCAGAAGCAAACCAACCAAAUUAAUGGGUCAGUGGACCACUGUUGGUGGAUUCCCUAGAAAACCGUCUGAGGUGCCUCAACACUAUCUCCGGCUCCACAUAUGCUUCUUACAAUGUGACAUGGACACUCCUCCCAUUGAAACGUGGGGGUCCGUGUCCCCUCUCCUCUGCCCUUGAACUGGACAAGAUUUACGGCUAUUUCAACCAAUGGCAGAAGUGAUAUCAUAAAGUGUGAGGCAGUGUACUUUCUGGCUGUUGGAAUAGUCGCCUCAGAACCCUAAGCUAUCAUCUAAGAUCUCUGACUACCCUGAAGCUGACAUCCUGUGAGGAAGCCCAGGCCGUAUGGAGAGGCCCAUCUGAGGUUCCAGCCAACAGCGAGAAUCAAAUGCCAGACAUGGGAGUGAAGAUGUCUCCAGAAGAUUCUAGCUUCCAGUCACCGAGUCUUCCCAACUGAGGUCCCAGACAUCGUGGAGCAGAGAUAAGCUGCCCUUGCUGUGCCCUUUCCGAAUUCCCUAUCCACAGAAUCUGGGAGUGUAAUAAAAUAAUUGUUUCACCCUAUUAAGUUUUGGGGUGGUUUGUUACAAGGCAAUAGUAAUUGGUACAGAUAUGAAACCAGGAGCCCUAUGUGGUCCCCAAGUCCUCCUGAGAUAGAGAUCUGGGAGUGGCUACUUUGUGGAAGAGUUAGAGCUUCUUGGAAUACUAUUUGAAAACCUCUGGACUAACCAAGGGCUCCAAAUUCUGUGUUUCUAAGAAACCUGGAAUUUAAUAGCUUUAUCAAGAAAGAGAAUUGUCUCGUUCAGUGUUAUGAACUGAAUUGUGUCCCCCCAAAAGAUGAAGUCCUAACCCCCGGUACCUGUGAAUGUGAACUUAUUUGGAAGUAAGGUAUUUGCAGACUAUCGACUUAAGAUGGCAGCAUCAGGGUGAGCUCUGAUCCAAUAUUCUGUAUCCUUAUAAAAAGGAGAAGUUUGGACACAGAGACCACACACACAGAGAUAACGCCAUAUGAAGAUGAAGGUAGAGAUUGGGUGCUGCAUCUAUCAGCCAACGAUUACCAAAGAUUGCCAACAAACCAUAGACUUAUGGAACAGAUUCUCCCUCACAGCCCUCAGAAGGAACCAACCCUGCUUUCACUUUGAUCUAGAACUGUGAGACAAUAAUUUUGUUUGUUUAAGCCACCCAGUAUGUGGUAGUUUGUCACGGCAGCUCUGGGAAAAUAAUACAUUCGAGAACCAGUUUGAACAGGAGUGAUAGCCCUUUAUAGCUCCAAGGUCCUCAGCUAAUGCAAGUUAGGCCUCUUGAUUCAUUCAGCAAUAUCUUUUCAAGGUCCAUCUCAUAGAAGUCACAAUGGGAAGCACUUUAGAAAAAUACAAAGAUAAAUUAAGUCUUGGUUUCCACAAUCAUUGGAACACCAACUCUGGAAGGAGAGAUAUGAUAAGUCCUAAAAUAACCAUAGUACAAGUGAUAAGUGCCCUAGAUGAUGAGGCAUGUAGAAAGUGUUAAGAGAAAUUCUAAAUAAGCCUUAAAAUUCUUUUAAAAAGUCUCAGUGAUCUUAGUAUAAGUAGAGCCAAAAUUAGAUUUGGAUGGACAGAGUUGAAGGUAGAAGAGGCAUUUCUAUGAAUGUCUAACACUCAGUGGGUCCCUGGCUAAUCGAUUAAAGUACAUAGGUAAAGUAUAACUCCUUUAUUGUCAGGUCUAUUUAAAGCAUUUAUAGAGUCCUAGAUACAUUUUUGGAUAAUGAUUGUUUCCUCCCUGUACACAUAAGAAAAAAAUGUGUAUGAGUCUAAACAUUUUAAAACAACCUAGAAUGCAACUUCUGUCUUACAAGCAUUUACUACAAGGUUUUAGAGUCAACUUUCAGGCAUUUUUGAUGCAAGUUCUUUUUUUUUUAGUUUUUAUUGGAGUAUAGUUGAUUUACAAUGUUGUGUUAGUUUCAAGUGUACAGCAAAGUGACUCAGUUAUACAUAUACAUAUAUCCACUCUUUUAUUUAGAGUCUUUUCCCAUGUCAUUACAGAGUACUGAGUUGAGUUCCCUGUGCUGUACAGUAGGUUCUUAUUAGUUAUCUAUUUUAUAUAUAACAGUGUGUAUACGUCAAUCCCAAUCUCCCAAUUUAUCCCUUCCUCCAUCUAUCCCCUGAUGCAAGUUCUUGAUCAGAUUUAUAAUUAAAGCUCUCAAUAGUCACUAGUAGUGUCUUUUUAAAAAAUUAUUUUUGUUUUAUUAUAUCAGUUUCUGAGUUAGGAAAAGUUAUUUGAAAAUAAUGGUCUAGUUAGUUUUCCAUACUUGAGAUUUGAUUGUUUUCACAUUGUUGGUAGAACUGAAGGGCAACAAAUCAGCCUGAAGUUUAGAAAGUGCACUGAGCAUCCUUUAUCAGGAGGUUCCCCGUUGACUCACACCUCUACUCCCCAUACUACCCCACAAGAAACAAAAGCCUUAUGUAAUAUAAAUCAGGUAUUUAAUCCCUCUGACCUUUUUCAUAUUUCCCAUUUGAAACCAAUUCAGUUUCUUUAAGAGGUUAUCUGGACUUACAAUAUUUAUGUAGCUAAAUGUUUUGACUGAGUAGUUUUGACUGAAGCUGAAUCUCUAGUUUUCAAUUUCACAAGCAGAAACUCAUUUUAAACACUUCCUCACUUCUCGUAAUAACCUAGAAUGGAAAAUAAUCUUAAAAUUUUAUAUAUAUAUAUAUAUAAAGUACUUUCCUGUACACAUGAAGCUAACACUACAACGUAAAUCAACUAUACUUCAAUUAAAAAAAAAGCAAAGGGGAAAAAUACUAAAGUUAGGGCAGUCAACAUCCUGUCUUUGUUUCUGGAUGCAUAAAACAACUAAACCUGUUAGCCUGCUGAUACUGUUAAGGCUUAGAAUGUGACUCCCAAGAAAAUAUGCAAGUUGCAUGACCAGAGGCUAGAACCUGGGGAGAAUUAAGAAGAAACCCUGAAUAAAUAAUAAGUCCUGAAUAAAGUCUUCCUUACCAUUCUAACAAGUAUCAGAUUAAUUUUUUCUUUAACACCACUUAGAGGUCAUUAAUGUACAUGGCCUCAGGUUUUUGUUGAGAUGGGCUACAUCAUAAAGUAUUUUUCAUAAAGCAAUUUAAAUCAUUAAGAAAUAUAAUUUAUACAUACAACUCAAUGGGCAUAAAUGGAACACAUCAACUAUUUCAUAAACUUGUGGACAUUUAUUUCUCAAACUUACAAUGAUUGUAGCUUCACAUUUUGCAUUGAUUUUAUCUAUACUUGGACUGAAUCAGCCUGAGAUGUUGAAAG